rnacentral:rRNA from 1 species
UCGGAUGCUGACGACCGGCGCACGGGUGCGUAACGCGUAUGCAACCUACCCAAAACAGGAGGAUAGCCCGGAGAAAUUCGGAUUAAUACUCCAUAGUAUAGUUUGAUGGCAUCUGAAGACUAUUAAAGAUUUAUCGGUUUUGGAUGGGCAUGCGUCUGAUUAGUUAGUUGGUGAGGUAACGGCUCACCAAGACGAUGAUCAGUAGGGGGUCUGAGAGGAUGAUCCCCCACACUGGCACUGAGAUACGGGCCAGACUCCUACGGGAGGCAGCAGUAGGGAAUAUUGGUCAAUGGGCGAGAGCCUGAACCAGCCAUGCCGCGUGGAGGAAGACGGCUUUCUGAGUUGUAAACUCCUUUUAUAUGGGAAGAAAAAGCUCCUGCGGGAGACAUUGCCGGUACCAUAUGAAUAAGCACCGGCUAACUCCGUGCCAGCAGCCGCGGUAAUACGGAGGGUGCAAGCGUUGUCCGGAUUUAUUGGGUUUAAAGGGUACGUAGGCGGUUGUUUAAGUCUGUGGUGAAAGCCCACCGCUCAACGGUGGAACUGCCAUGGAUACUGGAUAACUUGAGUACUGUAGAGGUAGGCGGAAUUGGUGGUGUAGCGGUGAAAUGCAUAGAUACCAUCAAGAACACCAAUAGUGAAGACAGCUUACUGGACAGUAACUGACGCUGAGGUACGAAAGCGUGGGUAGCGAACAGGAUUAGAUACCCUGGUAGUCCACGCCGUAAACGAUGAUCACUCGGUGUAUGCGAUAUACUGUAUGCGCCCAAGCGAAAGCGUUAAGUGAUCCACCUGGGGAGUACGUCGGCAACGAUGAAACUCAAAGGAAUUGACAGGGGUCCGCACAAGCGGUGGAGCAUGUGGUUUAAUUCGAUGAUACGUGAGGAACCUUACCUAGCUCGAAUGUGAGCGAAUAUACCA